rnacentral:rRNA from 1 species
GGGAAUAUUGGACAAUGGGGGAAACCCUGAUCCAGCGACGCCGCGUGGGUGAAGAAGGCCUGCGGGUUGUAAAGCCCUUUCGGUUGGGAAGAAAAGUUGCGACCUAACACGUCGCGACCUUGACGUAACCAACUAAAGAAGCACCGGCUAACUCUGUGCCAGCAGCCGCGGUAAUCCAGAGGGUGCGAGCGUUAAUCGGAAUUACUGGGCGUAAAGCGCGCGUAGGCGGCUUGGCAAGUCGGGUGUGAAAUCCCCGGGCUCAACCUGGGAACUGCAUUCGGGACUGCUUUGCUAGAGUAUGGGAGAGGGGAGUGGAAUUUCCGGUGUAGCGAUGAAAUGCGUAGAUAUCGGAAGGAAC